rnacentral:misc_RNA from 1 species
GAUGAAGAACGCAGCGAAAUGCGAUAAGUAAUGUGAAUUGCAGAAUUCAGUGAAUCAUCGAAUCUUUGAACGCACCUUGCACUCCUUGGUAUUCCGAGGAGUACGCCUGUUCGAGUGUUAUGAAGCUCUCAAAACGCAAUUGGCUUAAAACCUGAUUGUCGUUUUGGAUUUGAACUUUGCCGUGUUAUAACGGCUGGUUUUAAAAGUAUUAGCUGGUACUAGAACGAAUUGGUUCUACUCAACGUGAUAAUUAUCUGAUCGUUGAGGACAUUCCUUUCACGAGGAAUGGCCAUAGUAAAUUCAAUGGACUGCUUCUAAUCUGGCUUUAAUUCUUUAUUGGAUUAACCACUUUUCAAAUCUGACCUCGAAUCAGGUGGGACUACCCGCUGAACUUAAGCAUAUCAAUAAGCGGAGGA